UUUUUGGAAUGUGAAAAUGGUAUGUUUGAUUUGGCUUAUUAAGAAUGUCAUGUGCAUGUUAGAUGAUGGUAUUUCAUUGACAUGUAUUAGCCAUGAUUGUGGAUCUAAGUAUACUAUAAUUUAUGUUAUUGAAAUGGUGUAUGUGUUUGAGCAAAUGAGGGUGGAAAAUGGCUUGGUAAAUAGCCUUUAUUUUGUCUACACAGCAUGUCUCAUGGGCAUGUGUUCC
rnacentral:lncRNA from 1 species